rnacentral:tRNA from 1 species
GCCGAUGCCGGGCCGAUUGUUGAGGGUUAUCGACUGUUAAUCGAGGGUCGCGGGUUCGAGUCCCGUCGUCCGCCCCA